rnacentral:lncRNA from 1 species
GAGGCGAUGUCGAGACGAGCAGUGGCAGUGCGGAUGUUGCUAAGGCUGUCUUGGAGAAGAUUGACUUCGAGAUCGGCCUGUUCUUUUACGGCUCUUAACUGCUCCAUGCUUAACUUAUCUAACUCCGUCGUCACCGGUGCGGUGGUUUUUGGCCCGCCGGCGCCUCCUCCGAUUCCGAUCCCCUUCGACGACGCCAUUUUCCUUUUCUUUCUGCUGGUAUUGCUGACCUUUGGUACCCCAAUUCUGACUUUGCUGCCCUUUUGUGUGCAGUCCUGCUUGGGCUGAUUAGAAUCUAUGUUUUCACAACCGGAUAGUAUCGACUCGGUCAAGUUUAGAGGUCAAGGUGAAUAGAUUCAAUCGUUUUAAUAAGGAUUGAAUCAAAUGACGUCAUAAAUAAAAAUUAUUUAAAAAUUAAAAUAUUAUAAUUAAAAUACCUAAUAACAUGUUAAUAUUAAUAAAGAUAUAUUCAUAUAUAUUUGAUGUUUUAAAUAUAUUUAACAAGAAAAUACAAAGAAAUUAGAACAAUCAAAUAACAAUUUAUAUUAUUUAAUGAUCAUUAACAAGUUUAGAAUUAAAAUUAUGGAUUUAAUUGAAAAAUAAUACCAAACUUUAAGAAAAUAUUGAUAAAGUAUGAAAUAUUUGAGAUAUAUUAAUAAUUUUUAAUAAUUUAGGGGCCAAAACAUAAUAUUGAAAAUGUUUGAGUUUUUUUUUUUUUUUAAACUGUUUGAACCGGCAAAUCCGGUUUUUCCAGGUCAAACCCGAUUUUUGACCGGAUUUUUAAUUAUUCGAUUUUUAAACGUGACUCGAACCGGACAUUUGAUCGGUUUCCAGUUCGACCGAUUGAACCGAUCGAUUCGGUCCGAAUUUUAAAACACAAAUUACAAUUGAUGCCCUUAAGCUAUAUCUAGUUCUUUAUUCAUCCCAAACUUUUUACUUGCUAUCACUUAAUCCUAUGAUAGAUGUCAAUGUCUAGGGAUAAGAGAUAUUUGAAAUAAUGACUAGAUGUGAUGUAUGUGAGAUAAAAUGAUAGUUAAGAAAAUAAAAAAAAAUUGAUUGAAAAAUGGGUUUGUAAUUCAAGGUUUAUGUCCCACUUCUUUGUAUUUUAUUAAAUAAUUAAUCAAAUUACAUAUUUAACAUCAAAAGUACCUCUCUUUUCUUUCUACGUAACUAGGGUUUUCCCAGGCACUCUUCCAUGGCUGCUUCAGCUACCCUUCAGCCGUCAACUGGAGGUCAACCAUCUUCCUCUACUUAUCCGACUUUUCAUAAUAAAUCUUUUUUGUCAUUAUUUCAUCCGAAACAAUAUUCACCAAUGGAGCUUCAUAAAACAACUAGGAGGGGGGAACCUGCGGUGGUUUUCUCUUCUACUAAUUCAAUUAUCCUUGGGAGGGAAGCUCUCAAAGGGACUUCUGCUGAUGGAAGAAAUUCAUAAGUUUUUCACAACUCUAGAUUUAAAAGAUGCUUUCUCUAUUGGUCUCUUAGACAAUCGACAUGUGUUGAUUCAAUUAAAAAGUGAGCAUGAUUUUCAUCGCUUAUGAGGGAGAAAUAUAUGAUACGUUUUUAGUUAUCCUAUGAGGGUGUUUAAAUGGACUACAUCUUUUCAUGUUGACACGAAACCAUCUAUUGUUCCUGUGUGGUUUUGUUUCCCUAAAUUGCUUGUUCAUUAUUUCAAGAAAGAGUGUUUGUUUCAUAUAGUUUCUUGUUUGGGUCGGCCAUUGUUCAAGGAUACUAUAACAAUUUCUUUGUCUCAGCCUAGUAUGGUUAGGGUGUGUCUGGAGAUUGAUCUCCUAAAGCCACUCCCUAGCUGUGUCUGGGUUGAAGUUGCAACUGGUGAAUCAGAGGGUUUUUGGCAACUGUUAGAGUCAAAAGAUUUGCCUAAGUACUGUACUUAUUAUUUUCGUCAAGGUCACGAAUAAGAUGGCUGCCGAAUUAAGCAUCUGAAGUUGAAAGUUUCAAAACUCCAGGAUUUGGGGGAACAAAUUGAAUCAAAAGGAAGACAAGAUAGGAAAAAAACAAGGAGUUUUGACAGAAACAAACUCUUGUAUUAUCGGGAGUGGAGGUUAGUGGUGCGACAAGCUCAGCUAUUCCAACCGAUAGUGGUGUGGCAAAUCCUACUAUCGGUUGUGGUGUUGACAUACAACCUAUUGCUUCUUCAGAUGCAAGGGGUUUGUCCGUUGCAAGUCCCGAACAUGUGACACCUUCGAUUGUUGAAGUUGGUUCUACAUAGGAGAUCUCUCAUAUUAUGGCAUCGAUCUCAGAAGGUCAAGUUUCAACUGGUCUUGUGAAUUCGAUGAGCCUACUAGUGUUGUUUGCGUCAUUAGGGGAUAAGUCCCUUGUCCCAGCUCAAUUUGAUUCAGCAGUUAUUACUUUAGAAAAAGAUUCGUUGGGGGAGGGUUGUUAUUCCCUCUACAGGAGUUCAACAGUGGUUGUUUGAGUUUCCGAAUUUUCAAUAGUUUCCAACAUUGUCAGCAUUCCUUUUUCUACUUCACUACAAACAAAUUUCUCGACUUGUGUAGUAGGGUCUUCAACGCUUAAGGGUUUGGUGGAUGAAACUAUUUUAGUGGUUGCUAAAAAUUAUAGAGAAUGUGGCUAAUCAAAUUUUAACUUAUUCCUCCCUAGAUGAUAGUUGUGAUUCGAAUUGGGGGAAUUUGGAUAUUGUAGAGUUGGAAAAGAAUUUGGCUGCUUAUAUGAAUUUGUCGACUCGUAAGCCACCCCUAGAGUCGAUGGAAGAUUGCAUAGAUGUUUAGAUGGUCUUAAAAAGUUUGAUGAUUGGUAGCCUAUGGUUAGCAAAAAAUCACAUAAGAUGAUAGCUUUGUGUCCUUCUGCUUUUUCUUUAAUUCCUUCCCAAUGAUUAAAGCUUUAUUUUGGAAUGCUAGAGGCAUGCGAAAAUCUUUAACUUUGGCUAGAUUAUGUAAGUUUCAUUGGUUACAUGGUUUUUCUUGCUUAGCAUUGUGUGAACUAUUAUUGAUAUAUCUAAAUUGGAGGAGUAUAGAUGUGAUGCCCCCACUUCUUCCUAAGACGAACCAAAAGGUAUCGGCGAGACGCCUGCCCAACUCUCGCUAGGACUCAGAACAAUUUCAGUUCAAACAUGAUGAGAACAUGAAGAUUUGGAUUCCUUUCAUGUCCAAGAAAAUUCAUUUUAUAAGUCUUCAUAUUCCAAAGAUGGUUGAUGGUGCAAUCGGGCUCGAGAAUCAUUGAAGAUCCAACCCCGUGUCAUGUGUAUUUCUUGUUAUUUAUUUAAUUAAGUUUUCAGCAAAUAUUGUUAGUUAAUUAGAGUUAGUCUUAAGUUAUUUUUGAGUCCUUAAUAAGAGGAAUAAAGGCUAAGGUCAUGUUUACCAUAGUUAAGCCUAUUUGAGUUAGUUUUCUAUUCUAGUUGAAUUAGAGUUUUAGGAAAGUAAUUAAUUGCUUCUAAAUUUAUUUAGGAAGUUGUGUCAAGUUUAGAAGUCAAGUCAAAUAAGGAAACUUGUAUUGUUUCCAAUUUAGAUUAGGAUUUUGAGUCUUGUAAGACUAUAAAUAGCCAAACUUAUGAUAUUUCAAGAGGAAGACAAUUAUGAAUAAAAUUUGAGAGUUUUUCUUUUUCAUGUUUAUUUGGAAACGUUCCUUGAUACAAAGUGAGUCAUGUCUCCUUUGUUCAAGUUUUGGCUUAUCAAUUCAAGAUCAUGUUGAAUUGUGGCGCCAUUCUACUGUUCUAAACAAUCUCGAGCUGUCCUUGAUUGGUUUAGAAUCCGUCUUUUGUACCCAUAACCUGAUCAAGAUAGAUCAUUUCGCUGCCUGAUCGAUUCGAUUUCUUCUCGAGUAGUCCUUGAAGAAUCGGGUUCGUAUCAGAGCGGUUCCAGGCACCAAAUCGAUCUUAAAUUCUAUUUUCCUCUCUGGUGGCAUAUACUUCAACUCGUCGGGGAAGACAUCGGAAAAUUCAUUCACUACUAACACAUCUUUCAGUUUCACCUUAUCUCCAGGGGUAUUAAUCAAGAAAGAUAAAUAACCUUGCGCCCCUUUACUUAAUAAUUUCCUGGCUCAAAUUCCCGAAACAAGUUCAGACGAGGCUAACCUACCCGUCACAUCCAACUUUAGAGUUGCCUCUCCGGGUAUCGAGAAUUCUACCACUUUAGUUUUACAGUUCAACUGAGCAUUAUAACGGGCCAACCGAUCCAUGCCUAUAAUCACGUUGUAUCUCUUAAGGUCUAAACUUAUCAAGUCUCCCAUAAACUUCCGUUCUCCUACCCAAAUCUCAUGAUUUUUAUAAACCAUAGUCCCAAGUCAAGCUAGGCCAUUCAGCUAGCCAAAAUUAGGGUUUUUCAGAUUUGGUACAGUUUGGGAAUUGGACUAUAUCUAUCUCAAUACAACUUGAAAUUGAAAAUGGUUGGUGGCAUUGGAAACUACAUUCAACAGGCUACAUUUCAUCAGAAGGAGUCAUUUUGAAAUUCAGUUUGCAAAUGAGAGAAAAUGGAGCCACAAUUGGAAGCUUCUACAAUUUAUCGAUUGCACUGACAGAACAGGGCAGUCGACUUUGAUCAGUCACUACAGAUGACUCACUUCGAAUUAAAAGGUGCAUAUACACCGUUAGAAAAAUACGAAUGUCUAGUUUUAAAUUCCACAAACGGCACUUGAUUUUGAUGUCCAAGCAGAGAGUUAUGAUCAUUCAAAGAUGCUCUGUCUAGAACACCCGAACGCAAUUUUCCAGAUUUGUACCAUUUCGAAAUUCCAACUUUUACUCAACCAAUUCACAUGAUUUUUGGUGAAAAAUUUCCAUACAUCAUAUACAACAUAUCUACAUCAGAUUAAAGGUCAAUUGAGCAUCAAAAAUUCGAGCUAAAGGUUCAAGAAAAACAGGACAAAUUUCGGCCUCUUCCUAUACAAUCUUCCUUUGGUUUUCUUUUCACUUUUCUAACUUAUAUCCACUUGAUUAACACAUAAUUAACACCAACAACACUCAUAAUCACCAUAUCAGUUCAAUAUAUCCAUUAUGGAAUUUCAUAGAACCCACUCCAACAUUUAAACUCAAUCCACAACAAUAACCAUGAAGCUACAAGCUUCCUAGCAAAAUUUAACCAACUAGAACUAAGAUAAAGUGACCGGAUGAUUACCUUCUAAUCCUUUGUGUAAAAUCAGAAAUUUUGCACCUUUGAGUCCCAAGAAAACCGUGAGAAAGAUGUCCUCCACUAUGCCAAGGUGAAUCUCCAAGUUGUUAGAAGUUGGAUGGUGUUUUUGGAUGCAAGAUUGGAGCAAAAAUGGUGCUAGGUGAAUUUGGGUUUUCUCCUUCUUCUUCCUUGAGGGUGGCCGGCUAUGGAGUGAAGAGAGAGAGUGAAAUGGCUGAUGACCAAAGCUUCUUGGAGAAGCUUGAUGGUUGGUGGUUCAAUUUUGAGCAAAAGUCAACUUUGAGUAGUGUUUCCCGCACACGUUUUGUGUCCGUUUUCUCUCGGAUUUGUUUCAAUUGUGCACUAAACCUUUAAUGCACUUCCUUUAACACUAUUAUUAUUCACUCUUAGUAGUCUAAAAAGAUAAUUUUCUAAAGUCUUUCAAUUAGUCACGCGUGUGAAAACGCGAACUUCCGACUUGCGUGCGAUAAAGCGCAAUUUCUAAGAAAUUCUUGUAACGAUAGUAUAACUAACUAAUACUAGAGUAAUUAAGCAUAAAAAUACCUAUUUUAAGACUAACACAUGAAUCCUCAAAUCUCCAAGGCCACAGUACUCUCAAAUCGAAUAUUGUCUCCAAACGCGUAUUCACCAAAUCUCAUUAAACGAGUUUCAAAAAUUAAAUUUAUUAACGGGACAUUUUAAAAAUAUAAGCAAGUCAUAGUUCCAUGUAAAUUGUUCUAAAAGGGUUGAAAUAAAUUAUUCAAAGAAAACGGGCGAAUAAAUAUUUAAAUAAGCCAGUAAUAUGAGAUUAAAAUAAGUAAAUUUUAGGUCCUCACAGUCUUGAUGAAAUUUUGAUGCCUUAUUACUUUUCACAUGCUCUACUAUAUAUGAUCAUAGGGUUCAAGAGUGGCAUAGGAGGCGAACCUGUGAUUAAAGUGUAAAGAUUGAGAUAAGACGGUGAGUGUUUCAACUGUAUGUUAGGACCAUGUGAUUUACUUGAUUGAUGCUUCAUAUGACAUGCUGAUCGAAAUGUGACUUGUUGCUUAAAAUUGCUAGAUAUCUUGACUUGUUAUUGCAAAGGCAAGUGUGUACUUUAUCGCACUCGAUCUAACUUGAUUAAACUCUUGUAAUCUGGUUUACAAAUGAACUAAUAUACAUAUGCAUGACUUGAAAAUCGGUUGGAGAUGUUAUCUCAUCGACUAUACUCAUGAUUGGGAUCCCAAAUCCUAUCGGCUAGUUAGUCAUAUCGAGCUAGCAAGAGGCAAUUAACAAACCAUGAGAUAUGUUUCUUAUUUAAUCCACCGGAUUUUUCCUUUGGAAUCGGUAUAUUCGAGUAUUACGACCCACUUGUUUGAGGUUUUCAGGCCUGGUAGAGGGUUCAUCGAUGGACGAAAACUGGUGUAAAAUGAUGAUCUAUGGACAUUGUUUAUUGCUACAUUUCCAACAUUGACGGAGUGUCAACGGAUUUCAAAAAUGCUGCUACUGAACUGGCUGCAAGUGAAAUACUAAAUGGGACUAAGUGUUACGCCUGAAAUCUGGUAGGAGUCACCGUAUCAGCUGAAUCUACGCAUGAAUCCUGAACGGGACUAAGUUCUUUGCCUAGAACCUAGCAAAAGCCACCGUAUCAAUACUCGUAUCUUUUUCUUAUUGUGUUAAAUUGUUUAUUUGAAUAUGUGAACUUCUCUUGUUACUGACUUCUCUUGUAGUUGUUUACUUUCUUCAUUUUAAGAUUUUGAUAUAUGUGAUUGUUUAUCUUGCCAACUUGACUGUAUGUUUUCUUAGAAUCUCACUGGACUUUUAGCUCAUCCCAUUAUUUGUUUUCCUUAACAGGGAGUGGGGAUAACAUAAAAUCUUGGACUUUAUUUGGCCGGCUCUGUAUUAUGGUACUAGUCGAUUAAAUUCUUUUCUUUUGGCUUGUACUUUGGUGUGUACAUUUGGAUGAUUUGUAACAUGUAAUGUUAUAUUGAAGGAUUUUAGUUUGUUUUCCUUAAUAGGAGUUGGAAUCAUGGAUCCAAAAAAUAGUGAGUUCGAGAGAUGCAAUCUUCACUUUAAGUAAUUGCCAUCUUAUUUGUACUUAGUGAAUUGACUAAAUUACUUGUAUUUCAAUCUUUUUAGUUAUGCACAUAAGUAUGGAUGUUUUGGAAAGUUGGAUAGUUUGUAAUGUUUGAUUGAAAAAUUUCAUGCUUAUCUUGGGGUUAAUAUUAUCUCUCAAGUUAAUGUUAGUGAGUGAGUCCUGAUGAGAGUUGGACAGGCGGUCCACUAAACCUUAGGGUACACCCUAGGGGGAGGUGGGUCGUCACAGAAACAAUAAUAUCAACACUAAAUUGUGCUAACAGAGUACCUAAUUUUAGAAUGAAGCAUUCAGUCCACAAUAGGAACUACGAUUUCACAAACCAAAUCACACCAAUAGAAAAAAAAAUGAAAACCCACCUCAAGGUGAAACCACCAAGAAUAAUAGCUUCACUGGAAAACCACAUUAAAAUUCAGAGUAUAAUGGCACUACAAAUAACCAUUUACUGAAUGACAAAAGGAACAUAACGGAAGAAUGUGAAGGUGGGGCAUUCAAAGAAGUAAAAUUGAAACUGAUGCUCAGUCAUAAAUUCCUUAGCAAAUCAUGUUGUCCUGGCUUUAAUAGAGAUGAAAACAGCAUAUGAAUGCCUUCAAGUUAUAAUAGUAAAGCAAUGGUAGCAAUGGUAGUAAUUGAUAUUUUAAUUUAACUAACACAAGCCAAUCAAUGUCUCUCUAAGGACAUUUAAGUAAUUACACCAACAAAGAAGCUAUUAUGGUUUGUGUCCACUGCCGCAAAAACUAUCAAAUAAUCUCACAUUCCCCAAAUACCCAAUCCUCUAAACAAAUCACCACAGCAUCUUUUAAAAUACCUGGACAUAUUGGUAAAUACAAGAGUAUACAUGCUAUCCUAAGUAGUACCCAAUGCUAUAUCUACACUCAAAACAAUCUCACAAUCCCAAAAUGCCCCUACCCUUGUUGCUGAAAUUCAAAGCCACUCUUGGACCCAAACUUAUUCUUACAUAGUACAGGUAUUGCCCAAGUGGAUGAAUGUUAGGAUUAUUUUCUAAUUUGGGCUUCUUCUCAUUAAUAUUUUGUUUUCUCAAGAAACAGGCUAAAUGAAAAUUGGUUAAACCCACUACAGUAUAAUCCAUUAGAGUUGGGAGGUCUAUCUCAGUCAUAUAUUUGGUGUAAUAUGUAAGUCCCAUGGCCUAUAUUCAGUAGGUUCUUUAAUGGGCGGAUCCAAUUUAGAAACUAGGGUUUGGUCCCUCGUUCCAUUUAUAAUACUACAGGUUUUACAUAUAGGCUGUUAGGAGUGGUUUGCCUCAUUGAGAGCCACUAUACAAAAAUUACGGAGGGAGAGACAGCACUUAACCUAGAUACGUGAAUGUUAACGUAUUGAGUGGAUUCAUAGCAUGGAUCUAGAUCUUCUUCUCAAUCUUGUCAAGAUUCAAUGGCUACAAAUAAUGGUACACCUUGAUGUUACAGUUGUAUUCAAAAUCUAAUGUUGGGAUCCUGGAGAGUCCUACAUAUACUUCUGGGACAGUUCAUGUGCAAGUAAUAUAGGCUUCAAGUAGUUUUAGUGGCAAUCUGAUGCCUCGUGUUCUAGACUUAAGGAAUGAUCAAUGGUUAGUUUACAAACUUAAGGAAAUUCUAAAAUGUUAAUAAAAUUCAUAUUCUCUAAUUGAGUAGUGACGCUAGUAUUUGGGUGCAGUAUGAAGUAGAAGCCAUAGAGAGCCUUUGGAAGAAAACUAGAAGAUUAGGUAAAGAUCCAUAGAAAUACAACAACCAAGCGUUGUAGUUAUAUUUUGCCGGAAAACAUGUCCUAAUGUUCCAAUCUCUGUCAAAAACUCCCUUUUCAUUCCUCUCACCGUUAGAAAUUUUACUUUGCAGUUUUACUAAACUCAUCAAUUAUUUGCUCCAAUUGCAAAAUGUGAUGCCUUCUAAGGAAAAAAAGGAGAAAAAUCGAAAAGACACCCGAGCUAAAGCCAUUAGUGGCAUCAAAAAAUUUUUUUGCAUAGGAAAAUAAGGAAGCAGAGAACAUAUUUAGUGUGCGGAAAUGAGUAACAAUGAACCUUCACGGAGACUAAUCGGGGCAACAAGAUAAUAAUGUACCAGUUGAAUCCUACUCGAGAAAGUGAACUUCACCCUGGAUUUAAAAAUGUAAAAGACAUAAUUUCUUUUAAUAAUGUUUUAAAAUUACACUACUGCAGUUACCUGAAACUGAAAAAAUCAAUGUAAAUAAAAUAAUUUGAGAGAAUUUAGCGUAACAGUGAAACAAUCAAAAGACUGGAAGAAGAGCACUCAAUGCAUUAAAAAGAUUUGAAAGAUAGCUUAAUAAAGUUGUUCUUGAGAGAAAAAGGUCAUUGGAACAAGACCAUAACGAACAGAAACAUAUGCUCAUAAUUACUGACAUGCAAACUCAUAGCGGUUAGAGGUUUGGAAUAAUCCAAAUAAUUCUGAGAAGAUUGACCGAAAAUAUUCUCAUCUUCCAUCCUACAGGCAAAAACUAAUACAAAAUUAUAAAUAAAUUAUCAUAGCAAACAAAACAAAAUGGGUAUCAUUGUGAAGAGAUAGCAACAUACGAUCAUCAUCUAAGCAGAAUAGAGAUACACAUGAACCAAUAAAAACAAAAUACCGAGCAGACCUAAGAGGCAAAUCAUCAACCACUAUGGGUAAUUGUAACAAACCUGUGGUUGGAGCAAGUAAUGGGAUGUAGCUUCUUUUUUUUCUUUCGUGUUGAAGAGCUACAAACCAACCCAUUAGAACAUAGAAAAACAUUAAGACAUUAAUGUGACUAUAAAGAACCAAAAAAGGCAAAUGAAUCUUACGAAAUGGAAGAAAGAUCAAAACUCCAAGUUUUGAGUGUGUCUCUUUAUCAUUCUCUUUGUGUUUUUCUUUUCUGUCUAGCAAGUGAGUAAUUAGGAAGAAGUGAAGAAACAUUCAUCCCUACUCUAUUUUUUUUCCUUAAACCAAAUGUCUAAAUCAUCACUUACUUUUUCUAGAAAAGAAUAUUUAAUAAUCAGACAAAUGAGGGAAACUAAUUUUAAAAAAAAUAUUGAAACACGUACAAAUCCAAAACAUAGCAAAACAUCUCAUAAUACUAAGGAAUAAGAAACAAAUAGAUUAAUCAAACUCUUGAUCAUCAUUAGACUGGUUGAAAACAUAUUUUAUGGAAAAAAAUUGUCACACUUCCGUAUGUCAUAAGUUAACAAACUAACUACAAACUAACUAAAGCAAUGAACAUGGGGGAAGGUUGGGUUGGAUGGUAAGGUAGAAGGAAUUGUAAGUCGAAGAUUUUCCCACUUAUAAAAAUAAAAAAGGUAAGGUAGGAGGGAUUAUUAAAAAGAAGUCAUAGGUUCAAAACUUUCCACUUAAAAAAAAUUAUAAAAACAAACUAAAGCAAUGAACAUUCUAAACAUCAUUACGGAUCAAAUAUCAAAAACUUAGUAGACCACUAAUUUAAAGUAUACAAACUUAACUCAGAAAAGACAAUUUUUUUCAAAAUUCAAAUAUGUUGCUUGUGUGAGACCCCAAAAUUUUACUUUUUUUUUAUAAUCCUUAUGUGAACUUACUUACCUUUGAUUGUUGGUUGCUUUAAUGGUUGAAUUUGAGUCAAGGGAGUGAAUUUUGUUAAGAAAAGUUUCAUAAUCUCAAGUUGUUAGAAAAUCUAGAAAUUUUCGCAGGAGGCUCUGCGCAGCUUUGGGAAAUUGGCUAUAAUUUUGUAUAGGAAAGUCGGAAUUGAAUUCCGUUUAUUACAUUUGAAACUAGACUCAGAGGGCUUUCUACGGUGUAAAAUUUAGAGUUUGAUUCAAUGUUUAUAAAUUCUAGGAAAUUGGCAAAAUUGACUGAAAAUUCUGCCCUGCAUAAGUAAACAUAGGAAUGUUGUAGUAGCUUAUGGCUCAAUUUGGACCAACUUAUAAACUAAAUCUCUUUGAGGUGUCUUCUAAAGAUUCUUAAUAUUUGAAGUCUAGUUUUUAACAAGCCAAGUUAUAUAAAUUUUUUGUAGUUAUAACUCAAGUUAUAAUUUUUCUAAAGGAAGGGCAUAAGUUAGGGUUUUGUGCAUACUAGGGUUUUGUUGUGUGUUUUUGUGUGUAUUUUGGUAGUGUGAUUGUGAGGACUUGUAAAAUCCCUCACAUUUUCUUAAAAAUUCCCUUUUAGUUGGAAUCCAUUAUUUUACAAUAGCUUUACUACUCAUUCACUUCCUCAAUAGUUACAAUUAAUCAUAGAACCAAGGGUUUUUCCUUUUCUUUCAUCGUUAAGGUAAACUAGGGUUUUUACGUCUUUUAGUAGUGUGACUAUUCGGUAUGGAGUGUGUAUCAAAUUUGGUGAUUAAGAGUGAGUUUUAGAUGAUAUUAAGUGUAUGAUUAGAAGUGAUAAUAAUAAGUUAGUGAAUUAUAAGAUAAAACCCAAGUAUACGCGAUUUAAGGAAAAUUGGCUCGAACCGACGGGUAUCGUUUGUAGACACCAAAUUUUUGGUGCAAUUUCUUUUACUUUUUAUUCUCAUUUGUCGUGGUUGCUUUUUAGUUUUUUUAGUUUCUAGUUUUUAUUUUAUUUUUAAGUUAACGUAGAAAAAUCAUGAAAAAGAAAAAAAAAGAAGAAGAAAAAUCAUGAAAAAGAAAAAAAAGGAAAAAUCAUGGAAAAGAAAAAAAAAGGGGGAAAAUUGUUCACAAAAAUACGUUCAAAUUCAAUCUUUUGGCAUUUUGGUUUAUUUUUGUUAAUUUAUUUUGAAAAAAAAAGAAAAAAGGAAGGAAAAAGUGGAAAAUGAUGAAAAAUGAAAAAUGAAAGAAAAAGAUUGAAAAUGGCAAUUUUGUUGUUUUAGUUUGUUUAUUUUGAGAUAAAAUUGUUGUUUUUUUUAUUAUUACUUAAUUUUAUUAUCAUUUUUGUUAAAUUACUUUAAAAAAAAAAGGAAAAAGAAAACAAGCCGCGGCAUGCAAGCUGCGUUUUUUUCGCAGCUUGCAAAGAAGGACUUGGCAGCCCUUUGGCUGCAAUUUUAGAGGAAGUGGCUGGGGGUUUUAGGGUUGAAGGUACCAUAUAAAUAGAAGGAGAUUGAGAGCCGCAAAAGGGAGAGGGGAUAAGUUUUAGAAGGCAACAAAAGAAAAGGCAGCCGAGAGGAGGGUUUUGGAGACUGGAGUGACGGCAGGAAACAGAGAAAAGAGGCUGAGAUAGAGGACGGCUGAAAAGAGCUUGGGCAGAGGGGACAAUUUCUGGGGAGAGAGCCGAAAGAUAGAGAGCUAGGAGUAAGGGGCGGCUGCUUGAAGAAACGAGAGAGAAAACUAGAGAGGAUGAAGGAGAUCUGAACCAGAAAGGAAAGCUUCGGCAAGAAAAUGCAGAAAAGGACCAGAAAUGGGGGACUAAGAAAAGAAAGCAGGAACAGCCGUGGGAAGGAGAGGAAGCCGUAAAGUUGAAGGAAAGGAAGGGGAGUGGCGGAGCCAGAAAGAACAGAACUUUGACGGUGGCUAAGCAAAGACUUCCCCCUCCGAACAUAUCAAGCUUUGAUCUGCCUUUCUAAAAGGCUAAAGGUAAUGUUUUUUUCCAUUUUUGACCGUUCAUGGACUGCUGGGUUCAUACUGAAACUUUCCCUAUCAAAUCUGUUUUGUCCCCCCUUGAUAAUCUUGUUGCCUGGGGUCGGUUUACAUUGCGCUUAAAUUGGCGCGUACAAAUCUGCUGCAAUGAGUUUGAAGUUCUUAGCUUGUUGCAGCAGAGGUUGCACUUUAGCUCUCUGUAGUGGUUGGGUCUUUCAUAUGUUUUUUGGAAGGAGAUUGGUGCAUUGAAAAUCUGAUGCAACAAGCUCAACUCACGGUUUGUUGCAAUAUUAUGUGUACAUCAGAUUUUCUUUUCUUUGAUUGCUGAAGCUGUGGCUUGUUUGAUGUUUUGUUGUUGUUUGCUGCCAUGAAGAUGAUUUUGCACUAAGUGAUGUUUCUUGGCUGUCAAAAGAGAAUGAAAUGGUUUCUCCUGUACUGAGUGAUGAUUUUGCUUUAUGGUCCGAGAGUUGAGAUGUUACUCGAAUGUUCUGGUUCGGCAUCUCAAGGGAGUGUUGAUGUUUCCUGGCUGUAUUCUUUUGGUUUCCCUGCUGCAUUUCAUGUUGCACUGGUGUCAUUUUAUUUUCCCUCUCCCCUUUGUUCCAAAGUCCAGCAUACGGAUAAGGUUCUGGUUUGGGGUCUUGGUAUUUGUUGCAUGAGUUUGCUAAAAUCUAGAGGCACCAGAAAUUUCAGACGCUUCAUCAGUUGCAUGUCUACAUUUCUGCCUAGCUCCUUUAUCUAGUAUUUGUUUGCAUUAAACUUCAGCUUUUGAUUGAAGUUUGAUUAAUCAUGUCAAUUUCCAGCUUUUGUCUUGUGCGAAUUACAUUCAGUUUGGGCUGUCAAAUGUGUAUAGUUUGUUUGAGUUCUCACACACGAAUAUAUCUAUGCUGAAUUUUUUUAAAAAAAUAAAAGCUGCUGCACUUUUCUUGUUGUUUCCUCUCUGCUCACCGAGUUUUGUACAUAAAGUGCUGUUUAAUCUUAUGUUGAAGGAAGAAAAUGAAAUGUUUUGGUGUUGAGUCUGCAGUCUUUGAAUCCAAGGAAACAUAAACUAGCUUGAAUGUUGGCCAAGUAAGAUAGAUCUCCCUAAAAAUCCUGAAUAGUGGGAGAGUUUUGUUUUGUUUCUUGAAUGAAGCUAAGGUCGGCAGUUUGCUUCUAAUUCCAGAUUUCUUUCCUUCCUUUGUAUACAUGAAAUGGCAUUUUGAGUUUGAGUUUACGACAUUUUAGUGGGUGCUAGGAGGUUGGAUCCUUUUCUUUGUUAAGUUUUUUGUUUGCCGCAUAAGGUUGCUCAAGUUUCCAAAGCUUGGGUUGGCUGUUGAAAAUCUCCUCUUGUUGCAGAAAUGUUUUGUAAGUUUUUGCAUGAACUUGUUUGAGUUGUUCAAAUUUGCAUGUUCUUUGGUCAGACUUUUGGUGUUUAAAUCUACAAAUUUCAUGUUGCAAAGUGAGAGGAUUGUGUGGGAGUUUUGUUUGGAUUUGAUGGCAUUUGAAAGCUGGAUUUUAUGAAUUGCAGAAAGUGCCGAAUUGCAGAAAACUUUCAGCAGAAAUGUUUGUUGUAAAAUGCUUUCACGCCACUUUUGCAUGGAUUUGCAUGGAAAAAUGUUUCCAAAAAUUACACUUUGGCCCCCCAAGUCUCCUCUUGUCCUACUAUGACCCAAUCAAUUGAAUGAUUUCCUCAAUUUGGUCCUUGGUAGCUUUUAAUUUUACAACUCCAUUGCUUGUUUGUUUCAAUUGACUACCAUGCUUUGUUUAAAUUGCACUUAAUGCAUGAAUUUAAGAGCUUCGUGACCAUGUGAACCUGUGUUUGCAUGUUUUCUUUAAUUUUCCCAAAUAAAUUGGUACUUUGACCAUUUCUUUUAUUUUGGAGGAUUAAUAAGUGACUUCACUCCAUUAGAGUUCCAUUUCAAGGGAGGUAUAACUUCUUUUAUCUUUUUUUGUCUCUCACCUAUGUGAUCCAAUGUGCUAAAUGAGAAUUGCAUGUCUAUUUUUUUUUCUUCUUUACUUUUCCUUAAUUCCUUAAUUCAUUUCAUUUACUUUUGCUUUUUAUUUAAGUUAUUCUUUAUGGGGUAUGUGUACACCUCUUGGCUUGUAAUAGUUAGGGAUUUAAUUAUUUUAUUCCUUUUCCCCCUUUUAGAUUGUAGUAGGCCUUCUCCCCCCAAUAAUGUAAUAGUUAGGGCCUUAAUCGCUUUGUGUGACUUGCAUGCUUACGUGCUACGUGUUAACUUGCUUUGUUAGGGUCUUGCAUCUAGUCGAGCAUGCUAAAUGUUAUGUGCUAUGGGUUUAUAAGUGUUUGGCAUGUCUACUCGCUUUCCAUAGCCUGAAUGAAUGUGAUGGAUGAAUGUACGUUUCCACUAGUCCAACGCUAGUCGGAAUUCAUAGAAUGGGUUAGUCCAACGCUAGACCCUUAGGGAUUUCCCCUCGUUAGUACAUGUUUGCAUGUUCAUUACAUGUCAUGCAUUCUUUUAGUUUUAUCAUUUUGCAUGCCCCGCGAACUCCUUUUCCCUCCAUUUUAGGAUUUUUGCAUUUCAUGCUAGUUAUAGGGUUCAUUUUCUUGAGAGUCCCCUUAAAUAUGGGAUAUAGACGAGUGUGGCUUUUUCUAAGCCUUAACACGCUUGUAUUCCCUCUAUAAAAGGGCAAAUUGAGUCACGAUUUAGGUCUCCCCGUACCC